AUGGCGGGGAGGAAGGGAGGAACACAGUACCUCGACACGGGAAGGGGCUGGGGUCGGGGGGAGGAGGGCGAGGGAGCGCGCGCAGCAGACGGAGCUGAGGAGAUUCUCGUCGACGCGGGAGAGGUUCAUGCCGCCGCCCUGGAUCAGGAGCAGGGCAGGAAGACGAGCGGCGAGGCCCCCGACUCGAAGAGCUCGCCGUCGCCGUAG
rnacentral:rRNA from 1 species